AAGCAGCCAUCCUCUAAGGAAAGCGUAACAGCUCACUCAGCGAGAUCUUAGGGACCGUAAAUGGACGGGACUAAAACUAGAUGCCGAUACUACCCCCCGCUGCGUCAAGCAGCGUCGGAGUAUGCGGGCGGUUUGCAUGGGUAGAAGUGUGUUUGUGAAGAUGCAUGGACCGUGUAAUCAUGUGAAUGCUGACAGAAGUAGUAUCUAAGUGAGGUGAGAAUCCUCAUCGUCGAAAGGGCAAGGGUUCCUUGGCGCUAGUCGUUAGCCAAGGGUUAGUCGGUCCUAAGUCUGAAUCCUAACCGAUUUAGACGAAAGGGAAACUGGUUAAUAUUCCAGUACCACAUAAAGGCGUUCGGUAACGAAUGUCUAAUAUGACGCUUUAGGAUAUAGAGAGUAGACUUGUCUGUCUACCUAAGCGUAUAAGACCAGGGAGUUGUGUCAUGCAGAGAACUGGUUGAAAGCGUGAUGGAUCGCAAGAUUCUAUAGACUUCUAGAGCCCAUGAAAAAUUAUUAGAAAGUGUUUAUGUGUCCGUACCCACAACCGGCACAGGUGCCCAGGCUGAGCAAGCCAAGACGUGUGAGACUAAUCGACUCUAGGGAAUUCGGCAAAAUAGCCCUCUGACUUCGGUUGAAGGGGUCCCAGCGGUUGUAACGUAUGUUGCGAUUGCUGGGCUAAGAUAUUAGGUCGGUCCGACUGUUUAAUAAAAACAUAGCCAACUGCUAGACGGGAACGUUGUGUAUAGUUGGUGACUUCUGCCCAGUGCCAGUAUCUGAAAGUGGUUUUCAAGCUGCCUAAGGACUGGUAAACGGCGGGGGUAACUAUGACCCUCUUAAGGUAGCGAAAUACCUUGGCCAUUAAAUGUGGUCGUGCAUGAACGGAGUAACGAGACUUACUUUUCUGGGGAAUGGGCCAGAGACUUCCAUUGGGACGAUAAGACCCCGUAGAGCUUUACUAUAGCUUGUAGCUGUUAUAUUGCUGUGUUUGCACAGUGUAUAGGGGAGGCUUCGAAGCAUUGUUUCCGGAUGAUGUGGAGCCGACGAUGUAACACCCUACAGACAUAUUGAUAUGACUUACCUGAAAGGGAACACCUAUAGGCGGAUAGUUUGAGUGGGGCGCUACCCUCCUGAAAAGGUAUCAGGAGGAACCUAAGGUCAGCUCAGCCUGGUUGGAAACCAGGUGUAGAGUUUAAGAGCAAAAGCUGGCUUGACUGAGAUCUGCAAAGCAAAGGUUUCAGACGCGAAAGCGAGGUCUAGAGAACCCCUAUGUCCCUCUUACUGAGGGCUAGGAUUGAUAGAAAAGCUACCUCGGGGAUAAUUGAGUGGUGCCGUGUUAGAGUACAUAUCGACCACGGCGCUUGCGACUUCGAUGUCGGCUCUGCUUAUCCUGGCUGUGCACAAGCAGCCAAGGGUGCGGGAGUUCACCGAUUAAAAAGCACCGUGAGCUGGGUUGAGAACGCUGUGAAGCAGUUUGUUUUAUAUCUAAUGGAAGUGUUGGGAGUCUGAGGAGAAGCUGUCUCUAGUACGAAAGGAACGAGAUGUCCGAGCCUCUGGUGUAUCUGUUGUCCGACAGGGCAGGCAGAGCAGCUACGCUCGAAGUGGAUAACUUCUGAAAGCAUCUAAGAAGGAAGUAAAAGACAAGUUUGAUAGGACUGGGAUGUACGCAUCAAGGAAACGAGAUGUUUAGUCCGCAGUUACUAAUAGCCUUAAAGUUUAUCUUACCCAUUCUGGAGGUCUACUCAUAUUCU
rnacentral:rRNA from 1 species